rnacentral:rRNA from 1 species
UACGUAGGGUGCGAGCGUUGUCCGGAAUUAUUGGGCGUAAAGGGUAGGUAGGUGGUUACGUAUGUCUGGGGUGAAAUCCCUGAGCUUAACUCAGGAAGUGCCUUGGAAACGGCGUAACUAGAGUACUAGAGAGGUUCGUGGAAUUCCCGGUGUAGCGGUGAAAUGCGUAGAGAUCGGGAGGAACAUCAGAGGCGAAGGCGGCGAACUGGAUAGUAACUGACACUGAACUACGAAAGCGUGGGUAGCAAACAGG